rnacentral:rRNA from 1 species
CCUACGGGAGGCAGCAGUGAGGAAUAGUGGUCAAUGGACGGAAGUCUGAACCAGCCAUGCCGCGUGCAGGAAGACGGCUCUAUGAGUUGUAAACUGCUUUUGUACAAGGGUAAACCUGAAUACGUGUAUGCAGCUGAAAGUACGGUACGAAUAAGGAUCGGCUAACUCCGUGCCAGCAGCCGCGGUAAUACGGAGGAUCCAAGCGUUAUCCGGAUUUAUUGGGUUUCAAGGGUGCGUAGGCGGAUUGAUAAGUUAGAGGUGAAAUGUCCGAGCUUAACUCGGGAACUGCCUCUAAUACUGUUGCUCUAGAGCGUAGAUGCGGUAGGCUGACUGUAUGGUGUAGCCGU